GGCGGACGGGUGAGUAACGCGUGGGGAACCUGCCCUGUACCGGGGGAUAGCAGCCGGAAACGGCUGAUAAUACCGCAUAAGCGCACGAAUGUCGCAUGACAUGGUGUGAAAAAACUCCGGUGGUAUAGGAUGGACCCGCGUCUGAUUAGCCGGUUGGUGGGGUAAAAGCCUACCAAAGCGAAGAUCAGUAGCCGAGUUGAGAGACUGACCGGCCACAUUGGGACUGAGACACGGCCCAGACUCCUACGGGAGGCAGCAGUG
rnacentral:rRNA from 1 species